CUUUGUGAUUGGUUGAAGAGCUUGUUGAAGGUGGGAUAUAGGUGGGUGGAUUCGGAGCAGAUGGCCGAGUAUGACCCUUAAGAAGCUUCCGGCAUGGGACAGGAAACUCCGGCGAUGGUGCAGGUGUAGCUUUGUGAUUGGUUGAAGAGCUUGUUGAAGGUGGGAUAUAGGUGGCUGGAUUCGGAGCAGAUGGCCGAGUAUGACCCUUAAGAAGCUUCCGGCGUAGGACAGGAAACUCCAGCGAUGGUGCAGGUGCACCUUUGUGAUUGGUUGAAGAGCUUGUUGAAGGUGGGAUAUAAGUGCCUGGAUUCGGAGCAGAUGGCCGGGUAUGACCCUUAAGAAGCUUCCGGCGUAGGACAGGAAACUCCGGCGAUGGUGCAGGUGCAACUUUGUGAUUGGUUGAAGUGCAUGUUGAAUCUGGGAUAUAGGUGGCUGGCGCAGAUGUUGUAAUGAUCUUAGUAGCAAAGGACUUUUCAUUGAUCCGGCUGUUGCCAGUGGUCGGAGAAAUGGUCAAGGCAACAGAUGUUGUAAUGAUGUCAGUAGCAAAGGCCUUUUCCUUGAUCUGGCUGUCGUGGGUGGUCGGAGAAUUGGGGAAGGCAACAGUUGUGGUAAAGAACUCAGAGCUUAACUGGUUAGGUGUAGCGGCUAAGCAUGAGUUCAUGUAGGAACAAAUGGCAAGUACUAUGAAAAGGGAUGCAGCAAAGAAUUGUUUAGAAGAUAGGCUUUCCAUCUCUCUCUAUCUGAGUACUAGUGUGGAGAUUUGUAGUUUGUGCAAGGGUAAUGGCUGAAGGGUUACCAAUAUAUAUAUUUAUAUAAACUUUGUAGGGGGCAUCACUUGCUGGGUUGCCAACUUGUCCCAAAUAUGUGUUGGGCAACGAGUUCGCAUAUCCGAAAGCAUGCAUAGCGGAAAAAUUCAAACAGCUGUUACUUAAGAUGAAUAAGGACAGAGGGACCAAAAAGCAGAUUCUUUUUGCCCACUAUUUCUUUAUAAGAGGUGACACGUGUCCUUCUCUUCUAA